rnacentral:rRNA from 1 species
GAUGAACGCUGGCGGCGUGCCUAAUACAUGCAAGUCGAGCGAACAGACGAGGAGCUUGCUCCUCUGACGUUAGCGGCGGACGGGUGAGUAACACGUGGAUAACCUACCUAUAAGACUGGGAUAACUUCGGGAAACCGGAGCUAAUACCGGAUAAUAUAUUGAACCGCAUGGUUCAAUAGUGAAAGACGGUUUUGCUGUCACUUAUAGAUGGAUCCGCGCCGCAUUAGCUAGUUGGUAAGGUAACGGCUUACCAAGGCAACGAUGCGUAGCCGACCUGAGAGGGUGAUCGGCCACACUGGAACGUAGACACGGUCCAGACUCCUACGGGAGGCAGCAGUAGGGAAUCUUCCGCAAUGGGCGAAAGCUUGACGGAGCAACGCCGAGUGAGUGAUGAAGGUCUUCGGAUCGUAAAACUCUGUUAUUAGGGAAGAACAAAUGUGUAAGUAACUAUGCACGUCUUGACGGUACCUAAUCAGAAAGCCACGGCUAACUACGUG